rnacentral:rRNA from 1 species
GACGAACGCUGGCGGCGUGCUUAACACAUGCAAGUCGAACGGAAAGGCCUGCUUUCCCUUGUGGUUUGCGGGUACUCGAGUGGCGAACGGGUGAGUAACACGUGAGUGAUCUGCCCCCAACUUGGGUAUAAGCCUGGGAAACUGGGUCUAAUUCCCGAUAGGACUGCAGGGUGGUGCCUGUGGUGGAAAACGAUUUUCUAGUGGUUGGGGAUGAGCUCGCGGCCUAUCAGCUUGUUGGUGGGGUAAUGGCCUACCAAGGCGGCGACGGGUAGCCGGCCUGAGGGGGUGGACGGCCACAUUGGGACUGAGAUACGGCCCAGACUCCUACGGGAGGCAGCAGUGGGGAAUAUUGCACAAUGGGCGGAAGCCUGAUGCAGCGACGCCGCGUGGGGGAUGACGGCCUUCGGGUUGUAAACUCCUUUCGACCGCGAGGAAGCCACCUGGUUGGAAGGGUGGUGACGGUAGUGGUAGAAGAAGCACCGGCUAACUACGUG